rnacentral:lncRNA from 1 species
UUUCUAUGUGUCCUUCUAACUCAGAAGGACGUGUGAAGAUGUGGCCUCUUCCAGGAAUAUGCAAGGCUGCUGGGGAGGUGGCUCGGUGGGCAGAAUGAAGCCCUGGGUUCUGCUCCACCACUGACUGCAUGGAGAAGAUGUAGUGGUGCACUCUCCUAUAAAGCCAGCAUUCCUGAGGUAGAGGAGGGAGGACCAGCAGUUCCAGGUUCGGGCUGGAGAGAUGGCUUAGCAGUUCAGAGCACUGACUACUCUUCCAGAGACCCUGAGUUCAAUUCCCAGCAAGCACAUGGUGGCUCACAACCAUCUGUAGUGGGGUCCGAUGUACUCUUCUGGUGUGUCUGGAAACAGCUACAGUGUACUCAUAUAAAUAAAAAUAAAUAAAUCUUUAAAAAAAAAAAAAAGAAGAAGUUCAA